rnacentral:rRNA from 1 species
UACGUAGGGUGCAAGCGUUGUCCGGAAUUAUUGGGCGUAAAGAGCUCGUAGGCGGCUUGUCGCGUCGGCUGUGAAAACUUGGGGCUCAACCCCAAGCCUGCAGUCGAUACGGGCAGACUAGAGUCCGGCAGGGGAGACUGGAAUUCCUGGUGUAGCGGUGAAAUGCGCAGAUAUCAGGAGGAACACCGGUGGCGAAGGCGGGUCUCUGGGCCGGAACUGACGCUGAGGAGCGAAAGCGUGGGGAGCGAACAGG